AAUCUCUCUCUCUCUCUCUCUCUCUCUCUCUCUCUGGGGUUUGACCCAAUUGAUUGAUGGGGCGGGCGAGGGUAAAAUUGGAUCACGGGUUGGUCAGGCCUGUGUCUCCCAAGCACGAAAGAGCAUCAGCCAGUCCACUCCACUCCACACUGUGAUCUCGCCGGAGUGGCUACUGAGGUGAGGGAUCCGCCGUGUGUGUGUGGAGGGGACGACUAUAGAUAGACGCAGAGACAGAGAUAAUGAAGUUGAAAACCAUCAAGAUUUUGUUCUCAACACUGAGGCAGAGCCAGCCUCUCCACGACCCAAUAAAUCUUCAGCAGCAACAGCGAACCCUAGUGAAAGUUCGCCUGAAAUGGGUGAAGAACCGAUCCCUCGACCACACCAUCGACACCCACACCGAUCUCAAAGCCGCUUACCUCCUCAAAGACGCCAUCAGUCGCUCCUCCACGGGCUUCAUCACCGCCAAGUCCAUCUCCGAUUGGCACAAGCUUCUGGGCCUCACCAUCCCAACGCUCCGCUUCAUCCGCCGGUACCCAACUCUCUUCGAGGAGUUUCCUCACCCCAGGUACCCCUCUUUACCCUGUUUUCGCCUCACCAACAUUGCCACCACUUUGCACAAUCAAGAGCUGAGCCUACAUCAAACCCACGAAGCUGACACGGUCCAGCGGCUUUGUCGGCUUCUCAUGAUGACCAAAAACAAAAUCCUUACCCUUCAGUCGCUUCACCCUUUGAAAUGGGACUUGGGUUUGCCGGAUAAUUUUGAUAGGCACUUAGUUCAAAAGUACCCGGAUCAUUUUCGGGUUGUCAAGGGGUCGAACGGGUUGUUGUCUUUGAAGCUUGAGGAAUGGUUCCAAGAGUUUGCAGUUUCCGAGUUGCAGAAGAGUAAUGAGAAUGGCGACACUGGUAAUUUUAGGGGCGAGUACAGACAAUUCAAGAGAGGACAAACUGCAUUGGCGUUUCCAAUGAGUUUUCCAAGGGGUUAUGGGGCACAAAAGAAGGUGAAGGCGUGGAUGGAGGAGUUUCAAAAGUUGCCAUACAUUUCCCCUUACGAAGAUUCUAGUAGGAUUGACCCAAAUAGUGAGCUUAUGGAGAAGAGGGUGGUUGGGGUUUUACAUGAGUUUUUAAGCUUGACUAUGUACAAGAAGACUAAGAGGAACUAUUUGAGAAGCUUGAGAGAGGAGUUGAAUCUUCCUCACAGGUUUACUCGAAUCUUUACAAGGUAUCCGGGUGUAUUCUACCUCUCAUUGAAGUGUAGGACGACAACCGUGACACUAAAAGAAGGCUACCAGAAGGGAAGAUUAGUGGACCCUCAUCCGCUUGUUCGUUUAAGAGAGAAGUUUUAUUAUGUUAUGAGAACUGGGUUGGUUUAUCGGAAUAAAGGUCUGGACUUGAUACCUCAGCUAGACAAUUUGGCUAAUGAUAGAAUGAAUGAAAUGGAAAAGGAAGUGUCUGAGGAAGAAGAUGGCGAAGCCAGGGAAGAAUGCUAUGAAGAAGAAACUUCAGAGCUUUAUGUGGAUUCUGAUGAAGAUUAGUGAUCUAUCCAACAAAAAGAAGAAACAUGGGUUGCCUGAAAAGUAGGGUACAACUUCCAUGGCAACAGCUAGCGAUUGUCCUUUUGAAGCAACACCACUGCAUGAAGUGCUGAAUGCAUGCAUGCUUCUAUGUUAUGCCCUGUUUUGGCAUGCUGAUGCAUGGCUGUGUAAUUACAAAAGACAAAAUCCAAGCAAUACCCUGUUAUGCUAUAUUACCAAAUGCUGGAUCCAUGCCAGUUAACUGGCAACAUAAACAAGGUCCAAGCUUCUAUCAAAAGAGCACUACUGCUAAGAAACUGAGGACUUUCCAAAGGAUGAGGGGGAAUUCAAGCAUCCUCUGUGGUUGUGAACCAGGCCCAUCUUCUCGGCACAAUGGCUUCAUCCUUUAUGUUGGCUGUGAAGCAUCAGCACUUCAAUGGAUUUCUAGGUCUAGAUUGUAAAUGGUCAUUUGAAGAGGGAUCUAGCAGAUGCUAUAAUUUAUCUAAUAUUACAGUUAUAGAAAAAUAUAUGGAAGUCUAGAAUUCAUGUAGUCGAUCCCACAUAAUAAGAUAAAGGCUAGAUAUGUUAUUAUUGU